UACGGAGGGUGCAAGCGUUAUCCGGAUUCACUGGGUUUAAAGGGUGUGUAGGCGGAUAUUUAAGUCAGUGGUGAAAUCUCCGGGCUCAACCCGGAAACUGCCAUUGAUACUAUUUAUCUUGAAUUCUGUUGAGGUAGGCGGAAUACAUCAUGUAGCGGUGAAAUGCUUAGAUAUGAUGUAGAACACCGAUUGCGAAGGCAGCUUACUAAACAGAUAUUGACGCUGAGGCACGAAAGCGUGGGGAGCGAACAGG
rnacentral:rRNA from 1 species